rnacentral:rRNA from 1 species
UACGAAGGGUGCAAGCGUUAAUCGGAAUUACUGGGCGUAAAGCGUGCGCAGGCGGUUUUGUAAGUCUGUCGUGAAAGCCCCGGGCUCAACCUGGGAAUUGCGAUGGAGACUGCAAGGCUUGAAUCUGGCAGAGGGGGGUAGAAUUCCACGUGUAGCAGUGAAAUGCGUAGAGAUGUGGAGGAACACCGAUGGCGAAGGCAGCCCCUCGGUCGGACCCUGACGCUGGAGCGCGAAGGCGUGGGAGGCGAACGG